rnacentral:lncRNA from 1 species
AUAUAUAUAUAUAGAUAUAUAUAUAUAGAUAUAUAUAGAUAUAGAUAUAUAUAUAUAGAUAUAUAUAGAUAUAGAUAUAUAUAUAUGUAUAUAUAAAAGGAAAUAAAUAAUAAAUUAUCAUUAAACCUUUUACUUGUGUUUAUACAGCCAGGUGUCUGUGUUAGAUACAUAAAUGAGAGAAAGAAUGAUUACUUAAAACCUGUUGCUUGUCUCGGUGCAUUCUGGCUAGUGUUCAAUACAAGUUUAUCUUUCAUGUGCUUGCAUUGCAUUACAUCAGUGCAAAUCAGCCCUUUUUGGAUGUAUGUAUAUGAAUGUGUAAGUGCUCUUUGUAUAUCUAUAUAAAGAUGUGACUGAAUUUAUAGCUUGAAAAUUUUUCACAACUAACAAUACCAGACACUGAUUUUCAGGCAAUUGAGAGGAGUUAGUGUCCACACGUGCCACGUCAUCAUUAUCUUGUGGAUAAAUUAGAUGAAAUCAACUAUAACAGCUACUUUUCCACAAAAUAUUUUAUAAAAUCCUUCAGAAAUAUUAUAUAUAUAUAUAUAUAUAUAUAUAUAUAUAUAUAUAUAUAUAUAUAUAUAUAUAUAUGAAUAUUUAUAUAUAUAAAAUGUAUAUAUAAGUAAUAUAUAUAAUGUAUGUAUGUAUAUAUAUAUUAUAUUGUACUCUCCCUUUCUCUUUCCCUAUUACCAUUUUUCCAUAAGCUUGCUUUGUUAAUUAAUCACAAACUGACACAGAGCCCUUUCUCCUUUGAAAAUGAAUGCUUCACUCCAGGCAGUAAUGUUUUGUUGAAGAUAAUACUAAAAGUGAGAUUGGCUUCCUAACUGAAUCUGUGAAUUAAUAUUUUUGGAAGAAAAUAGAUUUUAAUAUGAUUCAUCGAUGAGAGUUACUGUAAUGCCAGUGUUUACAAAUACAAUGAUGGUUCAUGAGUCAAAGGAGAGUAAUACAUUGUCAUGCUUUAAGGUGUCUUCAUUGCUUGGUUAUGUGGAUGCUCUGUUGUCAUGCCAUUGUGACAAAGCAAACCGAUGGAAAAGUGUUUAAGGUUGAGAUGGUAGUCGUAUACAAAAAGUAGCUUUUAAUUUAUGUUGUGCCAUUUGUAUGUUUCAUUAUGCUACACACAGUAAUCACGCUUAGGGUAAGUUACUUACUGGUGUCCUACUUUUUGGAGUAAUUUGCAUUUUUUUUUUUUUUUUUUUUGUAUGUGUGUGUUACCAUCACUUUAAAGGAUAUUGUAAGAAUACCAUGGUUGCUUGUGUGGUUUAGACAUGGUCCGGUAUAUCACAUUGUUAGGACUUGUAUGCACAAAUAAGAUUCUUAAUACUGAUAAAUCUAAAUUAUGCACAUGCUUAAGCCUCGAAUGUCAGAACUGGUUAGUUUCUCCAAUUUUUGCCUGUUGUUAAAAAAAUAUUGAAUUAUAUUUGUUUUAAAGUAUUUUUGGUAUAUGGUCACAUUACUAUAACUUUAUUUGAUAGUAGAAGUACCACUGAAGAUGACAAAGGUAAAAAGACUUGUGGUUUGGUGCAAGUAAAGUCAUAAUUACUGUAUUUACCCAUUUACCCAUUGUUGUGAUGGCAAAGAUUUUUGCUUGAUGACAGGUAUCAAUGGGGUGUUUACGUUUUCUGAUUUAGACUAGACUGCACACAGUACAUCUACAAGUGGAUCUACAUUCUUCCACGUUGGCUGAAUUAAACCUAUUUAAAAAAAAAAAAAAAAUGUGAGUAAAAACCAUGUGAAUGCAGAUACAUGGCAAACAAUGACCGAAAUUACAGAACUAGCAGUGUGUGACCUCACAAACAGCUGCUUGUUUGUACUUGGGCUUUUGUUCAGGCAAUUUGAUAGCUUUGGUGGCCUGUCUUUGACGAGAUCUGUGCAGGUGUUGCAUUGGCACUAACGUUGAUAGAGAAACGAGACCAAAUAUACAUUCGGCAAGUGUAAUGUAAGAUCAAAAUAUGUUGAGACACCUGUGAAACUUUCUGUUUAACAUGUAUGUCAGAUGUCUUCCUUAUUAUAUUAUUAGUAUUUAUUGAGUGUUCCAUUUGGGACAUCUUCAAUAUAUUUUCUUUGCAGUUAAAAUUUAGGAAAAGCAACACAUGAUGGAGGUAGAUGAAUUCCUGUUUGGAGUAACGUUGUAAAUACGGGUUAUAGAAACUAACCUUACGUGUGUGAAUUGAGAGUAUUUUUCAACUAUAUACUGUUUUCUUCGUGGAUAAGUUUGGCUCCGCCUCUGCAUGUUUUUAUAAUACCUGCUCGACAACCUUAAGAUGAUAAAAGGUCUAGUAUACCUCAUCAUUAAUUGCACAGGAGUGGUAAAAGUCUCCUAGCAUUUAUAAAAUCAGCCUCAGAUGCUCUUUAAUGCUAAAGUAUUGUUAGCUCAUGUACAGAUACAUUCAAUCUUGGAAGGUAAUUCUGUUAUUCUAUCGCUAGUUUUAAGAGUUGGCAUAAUCAUUAUUUGCUGAUAAAUUGUGCUUUAUAUCCUUGUAGAGAAAAAUGUUUUAGAACGAGGUUUCUGUUGUGAAUUUCAGAGGUAUAGUUGUUAAGAAAAGCAUAUUCUGCUUAGUUGCUAUUUUAAGUCUGUUGUUCCAGAGGUAGAUUGUAGUUUAGAGUUUCAGUCAGUUAGAAAUGUUGAACUAACUUGAAUUUUGGAGUGUUUCCUGAAACAAACCUUGCAUAGUCGUAUAUCUUGGAAUUUGUUUUAUGCUUAAAUGAUAGUUUAAUUUGAACAUGUCUGUUAGCAAAGAAUUGAACUCUGAUGCUUGAAUCAUAUUGCAUUCCUACCAUUGUUGCUUUUAUGACAAUAGUGAUGAUGAUGAUGGUCAGUACUUUAACAAUAUGAUUACCGUCAUCAACAUCUUUUUUUUUUUAGGGAUGUAUGAAUUUUGGUAUAUUUUGUUUGUUUGUACUUUCUGUGUGUGUGUGUGUGUGUACGUAUGUGUUUGUAUUUGGAUGUGUCUACAUGUGUGAGAUUGAGCACAUGUGAUUACUAAACAUAUGUACAUUCCAAGGCAAAAUAUGAAUGUUGCAUCAUACUAUAAAAGUUCAAUUUAUUCAUGUCAGUGAAAUUAGGAACAGGAAAUGGCUAUGAAAUUUAUUUUCAUGAAGCAGACUGCUUUUAUGUGAAAUUCAGCAAAUGUUUAAGUAAGAUAGGUUUCUCAGUGCAGAUUUUACAUAGCAAACUUCAUUACUUAAAAAACAGCCAUCAGAAAUUAAAGUAAUAAUUAAAGAUUAACGUAUUAGUAAAUACUUUUUAGGGUAGCUAAGUAAUGCGUCUCCUUACAACAAUCCUUCAAUAUGUGGUUUGUUGUGAUAAGCAACAGGACAGCUGUAAAGGAUAGAAACAGUAACAAUCAGGAGAAUUAGGUAAUUAAUAAAGGCACAUCAACAAGGAAUAAUUAUUUUCAUGCUCAUAAGUGUGCUUAUUGAGUGUGCAACACCUACAGGAUGGAUAGGUAAUGGAUUUUCAAGAUUCUUUUUUUUCCCAAAUUGUAUUAUUCUUUGGUUGGUUGGUUUACGAUUCUCAAAUGAAUUUGAUUGCCAGUUGAAAUAUUAUUAUUCCAUGUUCCACUAGAAUUUAGGUCACUGUCUCUCUAUAAUAUAAGUAUGAAAAACAUAUAUUCUUGUAAUUCUUAUUAUCAUUACAAAAAACUAUAUAUUUUUUGUGAUAAAAGUAUAUAUACAUUUCUUGUGACUUUAGCUUAUGCUGGUGAGAUUACUGUAUAUUUGCCAUGGCUGUUACAAGUUAUAGAUUUAAACAUGUCUAUACUGGUUGUGUUGCAGAGUUUUCAAUUCUGUCUCUAUAUCAAAGAAACUGUAAAAUAUUCUAUUUCACAGCUUGCUCUCUAAGGUUCAAUUGCUACUAAUACUUUUAUGUGAUAAUUGUACUCAUAGUAAUUAGAAUUAAUUAUUGGAAAGCAUCAACAACAAUCCAGUGUGUGGAUGAGUGUGUGGGCCAUGACCUUUUACUAUGCAGUUGUUAGAUUUCUCUCUUGCAAACCUUUUUCUGUUUGUCAGCAUACUUGUUAUACUCUGUAGUUAUAGAUUGGCUUAUGUCUGCACCACUGAAGUAUAAAUUGGAUAUAGUGGUACAGCUACCCCUUGCUUGUAGGAGCUGAAGAAUUUCAUUUUGCAUGUAGAUUAAAAAAAGGAAAGAAAGAAAAAAAGAUUUCAGUGCCAAAGAGCUAUUUUGUCGGAGUGGGAUUCGGUAUAACUUGAGGUGUAUGGAAAUUCGGUGUUUAUUACAGUUGUUCAAACAUAUAUAAAAGUUUGUGUAUAUGAAUGAAAAGAAGGACAAAAGUAUUGCACAGUAUUUCAAUAAAAAGACAGAAAAAGGAAGUAUUUCAUAAAAAGACAGAAAAAGGAAAUAUCCUUAUGAGAUUUACGUAUUUUUAUGUAUUUCUUGCUCAAAUGUGUUGUUAUAACUGACCCCGAUGCAUCCUGUACAAAUCUGUGGGAGGCGUUUACAUAUUAUAUCUCCCCUCACUGCCUUGUUUGAUUUGAUUGCCUGUUUUUUGUUUUAUUUCUCUUUUUUUCUUUUUCUGAUUUUGAAAUACAUCCCUUGUCAUUACAUUAAAAUCUGGUAAAAUCUUCAUAAUAUUGUCAGAAUUAUUUGAGAAAACAAGGUUGUGAAGUGCAGGGAAUGAAGUUGUUUAAAAGAUAUAUAAAACUUGAGAUGUAAAAACUCCCUUUGUUGUGAUACAUUUAUGUUUUAUUACUGUGAUAACAAGAACAAAAAAUGAUAAGAAAAUAUUAUGCAGGUUAAAAUACUGUAAUGGAGCUGCGAAGUCAGCAAUUUAACAUAUGUUAACACAUUGCACAAAUACAAAACAGGCUCAUAAACACCUGUGAAAAGGAUUCUUAAAGUCAUGCUGGAGAAUUAUUUUGUAUGUGCAAGUAUGCCUAUUUAUUUAUUUUUAUUAUUAUUAUUAUUAUUAUUAUUAUUAUUAUUAUUAUUAUUAUUAUUAUUAUUAUUAUUAUUAUUAUUAUAAUAAGCUUUUCAGUUGUUGAAGGAUCUCAAAUACUUGUGCAUGGAAAUGGUUUUGUAUGAAAAUAUUUUGGAAAAGUUGUACUAGUUAUAAUGGAAUAUGUUACUUAGAAAUAGUAAGUUUGAUUUGUGCCUACAAACAUUUAUCAACUUUUAUGUCGCCAGGUUGUAAAAAAAGUUCAUAAAACUUAUUAUGCACAUAUGACAAGGUUUCCAGUCAGGUCUCAAAGACUUGUUUGUGGCAUUAAUGAUCUCUGAGCAAGAAAGAAGGUGUUUUUGAAAGCAAAUGUUUUAUUUUUUAUAUGUUCAAUCCAAUAUGACUUGUUUUUUUUGUGUGUUUUUCUUCAUUAGCAUUUACUCGGCUGAUACACAUUUAAUAAAGACAAGGUCCAUGAAUGAUGUCUUUUUCAUGAUACCCAGUGAGACAGAAAAUACUUUGUAAAUGUAUGCACUUUCACAAGAUUUUACUUUGAUGUGUGCAGAUACUUUUGUUUUUUAAGAAUAUAUAAAGUUUCAUAAAGUACAAAAUUUCUACAAAAGUCUAAGGAUAUUGUCAAACUAGCAAACUUCAAUUAUUCUCUUUUGUCCAAUUCAAUUUAAUGUUGCAAGUGCAAAUUGAUAUUAUACAUGUCAGAACUUAUCCUCUCCUUAGAUUUUUUUUAGUUGCUCCAAAAAGAGUGAAAUAUGGUAAGAAUACAUCAAAGUAAAGAAUGAAUAUGAAAUGUGGGAGUGAUAUACAAAAAAUAAUUGCAUUUAUGUCAGGUUUAAAUUUUCAUGUACAAUUUGACACUACUCUAUAUGUAUGCAUUUUAUAUAUCUGUAAUAUGUUGAUAUUAAAGUGUAUUCAAUCAUUAUAAAGGCUUCAACAGAU